GGAUGAACAGCAUUACCCCAGAUAGCUAAGCCAUGGAGCCUGUUCGUGUAACGAAAGACUAUGGAAAAGACUUUGGCUCCAUGGUGAUUGAACUAUAUGUAUGUGAUCUGAGCGCCAUUCGGUAGUAAUAUGCGCUCAGAUCUAAGCUAUCUGGGGAUAUGUAGAAUGUCUAUUUUUUAUGUAAUAAAUGUGACUGUAUGUAAU